UCCUGUUUGGCACCGGCAGUCUUCCUAGAGUCCCCGCCAUUACGCGCUGGCAACUAAGGACAAGGGUUGCGCUCGUUGCGGGACUUAACCCAACAUCUCACGACACGAGCUGACGACAGCCAUGCAGCACCUGUCUCACGGUUCCCGAAGGCACCCGCCCAUCUCUGGGCAGUUCCGUGGAUGUCAAGGCCAGGUAAGGUUCUGCGCGUUGCAUCGAAUUAAACCACAUACUCCACCGCUUGUGCGGGCCCCCGUCAAUUUCUUUGAGUUUUAGCCUUGCGGCCGUACUCCCCAGGCGGUCGACUUCACGCGUUAGCUUCGUUACUGAGAGUGUCAAACCCCCAACAACCAGUCGACAUCGUUUAGGGCGUGGACUAC
rnacentral:misc_RNA from 1 species